AUUGAACGCUGGCGGCAGGCCUAACACAUGCAAGUCGAGCGAGCGGCGGACGGGUGAGUACUGUAUGGGGACUGCCCGAUGGAGGGGGAUAACUACUGGAAACGGUAGCUAAUACUGCAUACUAUCGGACCACACAUAUGGGAUUAGCUAGUAGGUUGGGUAAUGGCUCACCUAGGCGACGAUCCCUAGCUGGUCUGAGAGGAUGAUCAGCCACACUGGGACUGAGACACGGCCCAGACUCCUACGGAGGCAGCAGUGGGGAAUAUUGCACAAUGGGCGAAAGCCUGAUGCAGCCAUGCCGCGUGUAUGAAGAAGGCCCUAGGGUUGUAAAGUACUUUCAGUCGGGAGGCGUUACCGACAGAAUAAGCACCGGCUAACUCCGUGCCAGCAGCCGCGGUAAUAC
rnacentral:rRNA from 1 species